AUACGAAGGGGGCAAGCGUUGUUCGGAAUAACUGGGCGUAAAGCGCACGUAGGCGGAAUGUUAAGUUAGAGGUGAAAUCCCAGGGCUCAACCCUGGAACUGCCUUUAAUACUGGCAAUCUAGAGACCGAGAGAGGUGAGUGGAAUUCCGAGUGUAGAGGUGAAAUUCGUAGAUAUUCGGAGGAACACCAGUGGCGAAGGCGGCUCACUGGCUCGGUACUGACGCUGAGGUGCGAAAGCGUGGGGAGCAAACAGGAUUAGAAACCCCAGUAGUCC
rnacentral:rRNA from 1 species